rnacentral:piRNA from 1 species
UAGCAUGUCUAAUGGUCAAGGAUUGC